rnacentral:lncRNA from 1 species
AAAUUUACACCCAAUUUUUAUCCAAAACUCUAAACUUGUUGAUCUUAGCCUCCAAAGCUCGAAUGACUUUGAAAGAGAAACCCUAAUCCCUAAUAAGGCCUCGGGCAGCCUCCUUGAAGUCCAUUGGGUAUGGCUUUCGACCAAUAGGAAUAAAAGAUUUUCAUUCCUUGCCUUCAACUAACCAUGCCUUGCUUUCAUCCCUCUCAAUAAGCCUCCUAUUAGUUAAUAUUUUUGUCUUUAUGCUCUAAUCUCUUCUCAAGGCUUCAUACUAAAUAUUUAGGUCCUAUAAUUUUUUUAAAUGCUAUAAUCAAAAAAGAUAAAAUUCAAAAUAAAGUUUCUUAAAUCCACUUUCUUUAAAUUAAUCUAUUAACCAU